rfam:Dethiosulfovibrio peptidovorans DSM 11002 ctg1, whole genome shotgun sequence.
GGAGCCCGUUCGAGCCUGUCUUUUCGACCUGCCGUCGUGUAGUACGAAUGGGGCGACAGGACGUCGUCCCAAGCCGAGGGGGCACAGGACGUGCCCUCCGAGGCGGUCCGUACGAAACAGGCAGGUCGAAAAGACGCUCGUGCGAGACAG